AAGCUAUACUGCAAGUUAGCUUAUAAGUGCUAUGUUUUUGUUCCCUCUGCUCACAUUAAGGUUGUUUCCUAACUAUACCUCGCUGCUUCCCCUGUAGCAGAGAGGAACACUUGGUCUCAUACAU
rnacentral:snoRNA from 1 species